rnacentral:lncRNA from 1 species
AUGGAAAAGGAAAUGAGAAAUGGGAACAUGGGUCUUGGGGCUGGCACUGUGAUGCACCAGUUCAAGUGCCAGCUGCUCCUCUUCCAAUCCAGCUCUCUGCUAUGGCCUGGGAAAGCAGUAGAAGAUGGCCCAAGUCCUUGGGCCCCUGCACCCGUGUGGGAGACCCGGAACAAGCUCCUGCUCCUGGCUUCGGAUCGGCUCUGCUCUGGCUGUUGUGGCCAUCUUGGGAGUGAACCAGCAGAUGGAAGACGUCUCUCUCUCUGCCUCCACCUCUCCUUCUCUCUCUAUGAAACUGACUUUCAAAUAAAUAAAUAAAAUCUUUUAAAAAUGAAUAUCAUUUUUCUAUUUGAUGCUUUAUCAAUUGUGUGACCUGCAACAGGGAUCUGGACAAAUUGAGAAGGCGAAGAAAAAUUAUACCCUUUGGCCAGGCCACGUGCAUUCUGGGGCAUUUAGCGUGUGUAAAAUGCAGUACUCCUGCAUCGCUGUGUGCACCUGUAGGUCAUAUUUCAAACUCUGCACUGAAUGAACUUAUCUGCGACCUCUCCCCAUCGCCUUCAUUGCCUCUGACAGAUCUGUCUCCGGCUGGUGUUGACUUCUCCCUGCGGAGCGGGACCAGCAUUAAUCUUGCGGGCUUCUCUUAGGCGGAGGGCUGUUCUUUCUUUACUGAGAUUUUAAAGCAGAGUUUCCACUGACCUUUGAGUGAUUUGUCAUGUGUAGAAACCAAUUGCUUGAGUAUAGCUGGGGUCACGGGCAGUACUGCUUUUGCCAGGAUGGGAGACUCGAUUUUGUCAUUCUUCCCUGCGUAAAUCAGAGUGAGGGCACUGCCAACAGGAGCAUUUAUUAUUUAGCUUGGAAGAGAUGCUUUGGAACUGUUCUGAUUAGCCGCUCUUCUCCAGGGCUGGUGAAGUAACUUCAUCUUGUCUCCUGGAGCCUCUCCCAAAGCCUGGCAGUCGCAAGUGCGAAUGCAGUGCUGCUAGCCUCCUGUUACUGCCGCAGGCCUCUCGGUAGCUGAACUUUGCGAUGGACCAGACUUUCGGCCAUGGAGAGUGAAAGGAUUGUGUCUGCAUGGGCAGACAUGGAGAAGACCAAUAGAACUGUCCAGAGGGAUAGUGGUGAUUUGCCAAAUGAAUGGACAGUGUGCAAAGCCAGACAAUACUUAGUAGGUUCUCCCUGUUAGUGACUGUCUUGUUGUUCUGGUUUCUUGCUGAAUUGUUUAGGGAAUGAUCUCCAUGGCCCAUUUCAUAGAAAGGUUCAGUUUUCCCUAGUAAAAAGGAUUUCCUGGGUAUAUAUAUUUUUAAAUGACAAAACCUCUGUG